GUGUAUUAGAAUCAUUAUAUUAAUUUGUCUUCGUCUCUGGACAGCAUUAAACAUGGCCAAUACUAGCUGACAUGAAAGAACAAUUGAAACUUGCCCAAUUGAAGCAAAUUCUUGAAGACCUCUCUCCAUUUUCCUGCCAUACAUGAGUUAGAGGAGUUAGAUGGCCAAGG